GAUGAACGCUAGCUACAGGCUUAACACAUGCAAGUCGAGGGGAAACGACAUCGAAAGCUUGCUUUUGAUGGGCGUCGACCGGCGCACGGGUGAGUAACGCGUAUCCAACCUGCCCAUCACUUGGGGAUAACCUUGCGAAAGUAAGACUAAUACCCAAUGAUAUCUCUAGAAGACAUCUGAAAGAGAUUAAAGAUUUAUCGGUGAUGGAUGGGGAUGCGUCUGAUUAGCUUGUUGGCGGGGUAACGGCCCACCAAGGCAACGAUCAGUAGGGGUUCUGAGAGGAAGGUCCCCCACAUUGGAACUGAGACACGGUCCAAACUCCUACGGGAGGCAGCAGUGAGGAAUAUUGGUCAAUGGGCGAGAGCCUGAACCAGCCAAGUAGCGUGCAGGAAGACGGCCCUAUGGGUUGUAAACUGCUUUUAUAAGGGAAUAAAGUGAGAGUCGUGACUCUUUUUGUAUGUACCUUAUGAAUAGGGACCGGCUAAUUCCGUG
rnacentral:rRNA from 1 species